UACGUAGGGGGCAAGCGUUAUCCAGAUUUACUGGGCGUAAAGCGCGUGUAGGCGGCUGGUUAGGCGUGAUGUGAAAUCUUCCGGCUCAACCGGAAAACUGCAUUGCGAACCGGCCUGGCUAGAGUGCAGGAGAGGGAAGCGGAAUUCCAGGUGUAGCGGUGAAAUGCGUAGAUAUCUGGAGGAACACCGGUGGCGAAGGCGGCAUCCUGGACCAACACUGACGCUGAGUGAGCGAAAGCCAGGGGAGCAAACGGG
rnacentral:rRNA from 1 species